CUCCCCUUCUUCACCUGGGCAGGAUGCACAUUAGACACUUCACAAAGACAUUGUUACAACACAGAAAAUUGUACAGCGGUCUAUACUGCUCUAUGUUGUGCUCUAUGACUGUCUGUUCCCUGUUAAAAGAGCUGUGAAUACAGAGCCAGAGAGCCACAAUAAUUUUUACUAAGUAAUUUAGGGCUUUAGAUUCUGAAUUUUACAAUAAUGAGUGAGGAGCAGUACAGGAGACGGUAGUGGAAUGAUACAUCCUCUGACGGCUGAAUUUUUCUGACUUUAGUUUUUGUAACAUGGAACUUAUAAAAGCAUGGCAGUUGUGGCCUAUUUAACAUCUGCAAUGCAAGAGACAAGUACCAAAUUUUUCAAAUAUUUACUUAUCAUACAGUUGAGGGAGAGAGUUCAUCAAAACCUUCUGAUGUCUCCUUUAUGUUUACAAAGGAAAAGCAAUAUCCUUUAUGCCUAACUAUAACCUCAUUAAAAAAAAAAAAGUUUCUUCCCAGGACAUCCUGAGGCCAGAUAUUUCAUUAAACACGUUAUUUCUUCCAUGGCAAUUAAGUCUCUUUCACAAACCAAAUUUUCACACUAGAUAUCCUCUACGUUUUCC
rnacentral:lncRNA from 1 species